UUUAUUGUAACGAAAUUAUGUUAUACAAAGGGGAAAAACUAGGCUGAAUAACCCCAUUCCUUAACCCCUCCCCACCGUGAGGUCCUUCAUGCUCAUCCACAAAGGAGCCUCUUUCUCUUUUCUUCCUCACGAAAGCUCUCUCACCCCUCUCCUCAUGGCGCCUCCUUCCCUCCACCCCCUUAUUCUCCCCUUCGCCCCUGAUCUCUCCCUUGAGCACCACACCCACCCCCAUUUCCUAGGGAUAUAUGGACCUGAUCUUGGGCAAGAAGUGGAGACAAGAAGAGGAGGAGAAGAAGAAAGAGAAGAUCCCCACCUCCCUGAUUCCCCUUGCUCAAGCCUCAAGGGUGAGUUCCCCCACCCUCCAUGAUCCUCUCAGGUACUGUACGGGGUGAAUCCUACAUUACUAGGGCUGGGGAGCAGUAAGUUCAUUUGGGAAUUAGGGCCAAAUCUGUCUAUAUUGCUGUUCCUAGGUAUUCAGAUUCAAAAAUCAGCAAUUUCGGGUUCCUAAAUGGCAAAAUCAGAGGAGGAGCAUGUGGAAAGUUUUGUAGGGGUUGUUCCUACGAUCGUUUUCAGUGGUCAUUCACUCAAUUCCGUUCAGCCAUUUAGCCGGGGCGAUAAAAACAAGUUGCUGCACUGUUUCUGCAAAACAGCAUUUCUAUAGUUUUUGCCCAUAGCUUUUCAUGAUCUUCGAGGGCUGAUAAAUUGGUGUUAUACAAUGGUAUAGCUACCUAAUACCUUUUAGUUCAUAGAUCAAUUUUAUUUACUUAUUUCUCAUGAGUAUUUUUGUUACCAUGAACUUCCAAAGACGGCUACUCAAUAUUUCUGAAUAUGGGUAUAGCAGAGCAGUUUUUGCUGGUUUUGACCCCCAUAAGCUCAUAAUUUGAGGUUGAAUAGUUGGAGUUAUUUGUAGAUGAGUUCCCCAUGAAUCCAUAGCCAUCUUGUUUGCAUGUUUUCGAGCUUCCUCGCUCAGGCUAUAAAUUUAUCCGUGAAGGGGCAGCAAAGGGUUGCUCCCUGGAAAUGCGAUUAGGAGUGUUUUUGUGUGUGCUUUACAUAGCUUGUUUUGGUGCAAUCUUUAAAACUUGUACGUAUGUUUCUACCGCGGGUUGCAGCACCAAUCCACCGGAGAUAGCCUCGCACCACCUCCCUCGCAAUGGUUGAGGCGAGUACACCGGGCAACAAGAGCUAGAUUGCUCCCUUAAAAUUAUGUUAAUGUUCACAUUAUUCAUUUACGUUCAUGCAAUGGUGAACAUACAACUCCCUAGUGUACAUUUCAAUGCACCAUACCACUAGUAUGUGAUAGGGAUUGGUUUUUCUUGGUUCUUGAUAACAAAUCCAUCAUGAGUGAAUCUUCCAAGUUCAAGGAGUGAUCCUCGCUUCGCGAGUGUAUGGUCCUUCGGGUCCGUCCUCAUGUUAUGGUCCUCUCAUUUGGUGAGGGUUGAAAAGGAGUGAGGUGAGACGUCGCCCCUCCUCAGCUUGCCGGCAAAAGCUCAGAGCCAAGUCAUCGGUCUUAUUUGGUUGCAUUAUUUCUUCAUGCUUUCUCAUGCCAUUCCAAGCAUGGAUGAUUCAAAUUUAGCAUUCACUUCAAGCAUGGUUCAUUUUCAUGGUCUUACUUGCCAUUUUCUUACAUGCUUUGUUGUGUACUUGCUGUGUCUUUGGACUCACCUCUCAUGGGAUUUGUUCCAGGUACAUCACCGUGCGGCUUUGCAAGUACUCCCUCCAUCCGGGUUUAUUAGGCCUCUCAACAUCACAAGCAUGUCCCUUUUUAUAAGGCCUCUCUUUGGAAAGGUGCAUGCAUGCAACCAUUUCAUUGGUUGCAAUGAAAGUCAUUGUUGUUGGUGUCAUGGUUGAAAAAUUAAUACACUUCAUGCGUGCUUUUUCAUUGGUUGCAUGCAUGUGAGAGAGUGCAUUGGGAGUGGAAUGGAAGAAUUAAUGUGAGCAAAUUACUAUGUGUCUUGGUCUAAGAGAAGCUGUCUUUAGGCCUAAUAAACCCGGACGGAGUACUAUGAAAGGCGUAGCUCCCAUGGGUGUUCACUCACAUUGCACACCCCUUUCAUUCACCUAGUCCAUAAUGAUAAUUCUCAUAUUUAGGUUCAUGAUUCCUGGUAGCUAGGAUCUACUUGUUGUGUAUUAACCAUCCCUUGGUUUGUUUCCAUGAUCAAUAUGUUUAGCUGUCAAGGUGGGUUGGAGUUGACUAGUCCCCACCUUGCACCUGGGUGUGUUGGAACAUAUAUUUUCUUUGUUUUGUGUAGCAUAACAUUUGGUGGCUUCACCACUUUGCUCUACAUGGGUUGGAUGCUUCUGCUUGUGAUAUUAUAAAUAUAUACUCUAUUUAUUCAACUACUUGUCGUGGAUGUCCAACGGUACAAAGGAGGUGCUACCGGAUUUUCCCACGAGCAUUGUGUUUUGGUGGUAACAUUCCUUCUUACAAGGAGAGGUGUUAUACUCCUCGGUGUACCCUACUGUGUCAUUGGCGCCAUGUGGCUGCCAUACCACCUAUGAAAUAGGACAACAAUACAACAUUGAUGACAAUUUUUCAGGCAAACAUGAGAAAUGACUGAAGUAAUGUCCUCGUUA
rnacentral:lncRNA from 1 species